rnacentral:rRNA from 1 species
UACGUAGGGUGCAAGCGUUAAUCGGAAUUACUGGGCGUAAAGCGUGCGCAGGCGGUUUUGUAAGUCAGAUGUGAAAUCCCCGGGCUUAACCUGGGAACUGCGUUUGAAACUACAAGGCUAGAGUGUGGCAGAGGGGGGUGGAACUCCACGUGUAGCAGUGAAAUGCGUAGAGAUGUGGAGGAACACCGAUGGCGAAGGCAGCCCCCUGGGUUAACACUGACGCUCAGGCACGAAAGCGUGGGGAGCAAACAGG